rnacentral:rRNA from 1 species
AUUGAACGCUGGCGGCAGGCCUAACACAUGCAAGUCGAGCGGGGUUUUCGGACCUAGCGGCGGGCGGGUGAGUAAUGCGUAGGAAGCUGCCCGAUAGAGGGGGAUACCAGUUGGAAACGACUGUUAAUACCGCAUAAUGUCUACGGACCAAAGUGUGGGACCUUCGGGCCACAUGCUAUCGGAUGCGCCUACGUGGGAUUAGCUAGUUGGUGAGGUAAUGGCUCACCAAGGCGACGAUCUCUAGCUGGUUUGAGAGGAUGAUCAGCCACACUGGAACUGAGACACGGUCCAGACUCCUACGGGAGGCAGCAGUGGGGAAUAUUGGACAAUGGGCGCAAGCCUGAUCCAGCCAUGCCGCGUGUGUGAAGAAGGCCUUCGGGUUGUAGAGCACUUUCAGCGAGGAGGAAGGGGUGUGUGUUAAUAGUACACACCUUUGACGUUACACGCAGAAGAAGCACCGGCUAACUCUGUGCCAGCAGCCGCUGUAAAAC